rnacentral:rRNA from 1 species
UGACCUCAAAUCAGGUAGGAUUACCCGCUGAA